rnacentral:rRNA from 1 species
UGUGCCGGGGCCUAUUCUUGGCAGUAGAACGCUGAAGAGAGGAGCUUGCUCUUCUUGGAUGAGUUGCGAACGGGUGAGUAACGCGUAGGUAACCUGCCUUGUAGCGGGGGAUAACUAUUGGAAACGAUAGCUAAUACCGCAUAACAAUGGAUGACACAUGUCAUUUAUUUGAAAGGGGCAAUUGCUCCACUACAAGAUGGACCUGCGUUGUAUUAGCUAGUAGGUGAGGUAACGGCUCACCUAGGCGACGAUACAUAGCCGACCUGAGAGGGUGAUCGGCCACACUGGGACUGAGACACGGCCCAGACUCCUACGGGAGGCAGCAGUAGGGAAUCUUCGGCAAUGGGGGCAACCCUGACCGAGCAACGCCGCGUGAGUGAAGAAGGUUUUCGGAUCGUAAAGCUCUGUUGUAAGUCAAGAACGAGUGUGAGAGUGGAAAGUUCACACUGUGACGGUAGCUUACCAGAAAGGGACGGCUAACUACGUGCCAGCAGCCGCGGUAAUACGUAGGUCCCGAGCGUUGUCCGGAUUUAUUGGGCGUAAAGCGAGCGCAGGCGGUUUGAUAAGUCUGAAGUUAAAGGCUGUGGCUCAACCAUAGUUCGCUUUGGAAACUGUCAAACUUGAGUGCAGAAGGGGAGAGUGGAAUUCCAUGUGUAGCGGUGAAAUGCGUAGAUAUAUGGAGGAACACCGGUGGCGAAAGCGGCUCUCUGGUCUGUAACUGACGCUGAGGCUCGAAAGCGUGGGGAGCGAACAGGAUUAGAUACCCUGGUAGUCCACGCCGUAAACGAUGAGUGCUAGGUGUUGGAUCCUUUCCGGGAUUCAGUGCCGCAGCUAACGCAUUAAGCACUCCGCCUGGGGAGUACGACCGCAAGGUUGAAACUCAAAGGAAUUGACGGGGGCCCGCACAAGCGGUGGAGCAUGUGGUUUAAUUCGAAGCAACGCGAAGAACCUUACCAGGUCUUGACAUCCCGAUGCUAUUUCUAGAGAUAGAAAGUUACUUCGGUACAUCGGUGACAGGUGGUGCAUGGUUGUCGUCAGCUCGUGUCGUGAGAUGUUGGGUUAAGUCCCGCAACGAGCGCAACCCCUAUUGUUAGUUGCCAUCAUUCAGUUGGGCACUCUAGCGAGACUGCCGGUAAUAAACCGGAGGAAGGUGGGGAUGACGUCAAAUCAUCAUGCCCCUUAUGACCUGGGCUACACACGUGCUACAAUGGUUGGUACAACGAGUUGCGAGUCGGUGACGGCAAGCUAAUCUCUUAAAGCCAAUCUCAGUUCGGAUUGUAGGCUGCAACUCGCCUACAUGAAGUCGGAAUCGCUAGUAAUCGCGGAUCAGCACGCCGCGGUGAAUACGUUCCCGGGCCUUGUACACACCGCCCGUCACACCACGAGAGUUUGUAACAACCCCAAGUCGGUGAGGUAACCUUUGGAGCCAACCCGCCCUUAAGGGGGGGAUAUAU